rnacentral:rRNA from 1 species
UACGUAGGUGGCAAGCGUUGUCCGGAAUUAUUGGGCGUAAAGCGCGCGCAGGCGGUCCUUUAAGUCUGAUGUGAAAGCCCCCGGCUCAACCGGGGAGGGUCAUUGGAAACUGGGGAACUUGAGUAUAGAAGAGGAAAGUGGAAUUCCACGUGUAGCGGUGAAAUGCGUAGAGAUGUGGAGGAACACCAGUGGCGAAGGCGGGUCUCUGGGCCGAUACUGACGCUGAGGAGCGAAAGCGUGGGGAGCGAACAGG